GAGCUUGCUCCUUUGACGUUAGCGGCGGACGGGUGAGUAACACGUGGGUAACCUACCUAUAAGACUGGGAUAACUUCGGGAAACCGGAGCUAAUACCGGAUAACAUUUGGAACCGCAUGGUUCUAAAGUGAAAGAUGGUUUUGCUAUCACUUAUAGAUGGACCCGCGCCGUAUUAGCUAGUUGGUAAGGUAACGGCUUACCAAGGCGACGAUACGUAGCCGACCUGAGAGGGUGAUCGGCCACACUGGAACUGAGACACGGUCCAGACUCCUACGGGAGGCAGCAGUAGGGAAUCUUCCGCAAUGGGCGAAAGCCUGACGGAGCAACGCCGCGUGAGUGAUGAAGGGUUUCGGCUCGUAAAACUCUGUUAUUAGGGAAGAACAAACGUGUAAGUAACUGUGCACGUCUUGACGGUACCUAAUCAGAAAGCCACGGCUAACUACGUGCCAGCAGCCGCGGUAAUACGUAGGUGGCAAGCGUUAUCCGGAAUUAUUGGGCGUAAAGCGCGCGUAGGCGGUUUCUUAAGUCUGAUGUGAAAGCCCACGGCUCAACCGUGGAGGGUCAUUGGAAACUGGGAAACUUGAGUGCAGAAGAGGAAAGUGGAAUUCCAUGUGUAGCGGUGAAAUGCGCAGAGAUAUGGAGGAACACCAGUGGCGAAGGCGACUUUCUGGUCUGUAACUGACGCUGAUGUGCGAAAGCGUGGGGAUCAAACAGGAUUAGAUACCCUGGUAGUCCACGCCGUAAACGAUGAGUGCUAAGUGUUAGGGGGUUUCCGCCCCUUAGUGCUGCAGCUAACGCAUUAAGCACUCCGCCUGGGGAGUACGACCGCAAGGUUGAAACUCAAAGGAAUUGACGGGGACCCGCACAAGCGGUGGAGCAUGUGGUUUAAUUCGAAGCAACGCGAAGAACCUUACCAAAUCUUGACAUCCUUUGAAAACUCUAGAGAUAGAGCCUUCCCCUUCGGGGGACAAAGUGACAGGUGGUGCAUGGUUGUCGUCAGCUCGUGUCGUGAGAUGUUGGGUUAAGUCCCGCAACGAGCGCAACCCUUAAGCUUAGUUGCCAUCAUUAAGUUGGGCACUCUAGGUUGACUGCCGGUGACAAACCGGAGGAAGGUGGGGAUGACGUCAAAUCAUCAUGCCCCUUAUGAUUUGGGCUACACACGUGCUACAAUGGACAAUACAAAGGGCAGCUAAACCGCGAGGUCAUGCAAAUCCCAUAAAGUUGUUCUCAGUUCGGAUUGUAGUCUGCAACUCGACUACAUGAAGCUGGAAUCGCUAGUAAUCGUAGAUCAGCAUGCUACGGUGAAUACGUUCCCGGGUCUUGUACACACCGCCCGUCACACCACGAGAGUUUGUAACACCCGAAGCCGGUGGAGUAACCAUUUAUGGAGCUAGCCGUCGAAGGUGGACAAAUG
rnacentral:rRNA from 1 species